rnacentral:rRNA from 1 species
UACGUAGGGGGCGAGCGUUGUCCGGAAUUAUUGGGCGUAAAGAGCGUGUAGGCGGUUCGGUAAGUCUGCCGUGAAAACCUGGGGCUCAACCCUGGGCGUGCGGUGGAUACUGCCGGGCUAGAGGGUGGUAGAGGCGAGUGGAAUUCCCGGUGUAGCGGUGAAAUGACGCAGAUAUCGGGAGGAACACCAGUAGCGAAGGCGGCUCGCUGGGCCAUUCCUGACGCUGAGGAGCGAAAGUGUGGGGGAGCGAACAGG